UGUUAGAUGCAUGUUAGGAUUAUUGCAUCUUAUAUGUCAUGAACGGGGGCAGGUAACCUUGUGUUGCAUGUCUCGACGCUUCAAAUGUCCGUCCGAUCCCAAACGGAAUUUGGGGGCGUCACAGAUGUGUUGCCAUAUCAUUAUGUGGUAGAGCGAUGGACAAUCAAUGCUAAGAGUCGAGCUAUACUUGAAAUACCAGUUUCUGAGGGGCAUGUAAUGACACAAGAAGAUUCGAUAAUGCGAAAAAACAAGUUGAUGAUGCAGUUUUACGAUAUUGCAGAACUUGGCUCACAAUCAAGUUUUGCAAUGAACCACCUUUCUCUUACCUUGGAGAAGGUCCACAACGAGUUGUUUUUAAUGGAAAAUAUUGGAGAAAAAAAUUUUGAAAGAGAUAUGUCACAUGCAGAUUCCCCUAUGUUAAGAUCAUAAGUAAUAUCAAAUUUCUCACAAACUAUACAAGAUCCUCAACGUGUUCCGACGAAAGGAAGACCGAAAUCCUUGAGAGCAAAGAACUCGAAAGAAACUCAGUUAGUGAAGAAAAGGCGUUGUAGUAUUUGCAAGAUUGAAGGUCAUACAAAGAACAAUUACCCAUCGAUCGGGGAUCUUGGAAAUAUCAAUGACAACAUAUCACAACGAGUUGAUAUUGAAGGACGUUUCACAUCCGGUUACUGUUUAAGUUCCAAAUCAUUCAUAUUUGUGUUGGUAAAAGUUGAGAAUAAUACAAUUUUGUUAUAAACUGGCUGAACCGUAUGCUUCCUAACCAUCCAAAAGAAAAUAUUCUAUUAAGUUCCAAAUGCUUGACUUAGCAUCAAUUUUUCUUUGGAUACUCCUGCAAUUUAGCAUUUAUUUUUCCUCACAUGGCAGGUGACUUUGGAGCUACAAGUAACCAAGCCCAAGCAAGAAGAGCUGCUAAUGAACGUGACCAAUAAUCUGAUUUAUUUGUAGUAGAGAGGUCUUCUGCCAGUGUUUGAAGUUGUAUGGACUUUAUAUUCGCCAAACAUCUUGUUAAAUGAUGGUUCACUUGAAAGUAGAGAUUAUGAUUUGCAUAAGAAACCCAUAUUAAUAGAUAAUUUUUGCCAGGUUCUUA